GGGAUAGCGUGAGACAAGUCGUUGUGGCCCGAUCUUCUCGUAGGAUUCGCGAACUUGAUAACUUGUCGCUGCGUGACCUGGUGAAGAGGCAGUGCACCGCGAGGCUGUCCACGCGACGAACUACCAAGACAAUCACCCUUCCACGUACCGACGAACAGCCCACGCAAUCACGCCGUAUAGACGUGAAGGCACAAACUGGAUGAACCGCAGUUCGGCGUUCUACAACUCCCUCAGGAAUCGAAAGAACAAGUUUUGCAAGCCUCUCAAGACCCACGCAUAAACAAAACUCCACGAGUUUGUGUAUUCUGAAUUUUAACCAAGCAAGAUGUGUCCUUUCAUUGUCUAGUACAAGAGAUAUACAUAGAUAGGGGCGUUCAGUAUAACACUCCAAAUUUUUGAAUUUCAAAUUUAGUUUAAAUUUGAUUUAAUUUUGGCUCAAUUUGAAUUUUUGGGAAAUAUUAAAUGAUUUACAAAAUUAAAUAAAAUUAAAAAUAAGGUAGAAAACUUGUUCGUAUGCAUUCAUGCCGCUGCAUCUAUUUUUGUUUGAUUUGUUUGCUGGUGCUUGUAUUUAUUUUG
rnacentral:lncRNA from 1 species